GAAAAACUGGUUCUCAUAUGAUCACUAAAGUUAAGCAGUGUUGAGCCUGAUUGUACCUAGAUGAGUGACAGCUUGGGAAUACCAGGUCCUGUA